UACGGAGGGUGCGAGCGUUGUCCGGAAUCACUGGGCGUAAAGAGCGCGCAGGCGGUCGUUCAAGUCGCGUGUGAAAGCCCCCGGCUCAACUGGGGAGGGUCACGCGAUACUGAUCGACUGGAAGGCAGGAGAGGGUAGUGGAAUUCCCGGUGUAGUGGUGAAAUGCGUAGAUAUCGGGAGGAACACCAGUGGCGAAGGCGACUACCUGGCCUGUUCUUGACGCUGAGGCGCGAAAGCUAGGGGAGCAAACGGG
rnacentral:rRNA from 1 species